CAGGACUCGCAAGACUCCUUCAACCCUGUGAACUUACUACAAAGACGUUGCUUCGGCGGGUGCUCCGGGUCUCCCGGGGCGCUAUGCCCGCCGGCAGCCUACCAAUUCUGUCUCUUUGCGUUGGCAUCUCGAGAAAAACAAAUAAGUUA
rnacentral:misc_RNA from 1 species